rnacentral:rRNA from 1 species
GAUGAACGCUGGCGGCGUGCCUAAUACAUGCAAGUCGAGCGAACAGAUGAGGAGCUUGCUCCUCUGACGUUAGCGGCGGACGGGAGAGUAACACGUGGAUAACCUACCUAUAAGACUGGGAUAACUUCGGGAAACCGGAGCUAAUACCGGAUAAUUUAUUGAACCGCAUGGUUCAAUAGUGAAAGACGGUUUUGCUGUCACUUAUAGAUGGAUCCGCGCCGCAUUAGCUAGUUGGUAAGGUAACGGCUUACCAAGGCAACGAUGCGUAGCCGACCUGAGAGGGUGGACGGCCACACUGGAUGUGAGACAGGGUCGACACACCUACGCGAGGCAGCAGUAGGGAAUCUUCCGCGAGGGGCGAGAGCGUGACGGAGCAACGUCGCGUGAGUGAUGAAGGUGUUCGGAUCGUAAAGCUCUGUAAUUAGGAGAGUACAAAUGUGUAAGUAACUAUGCACAUCUUGACGGUACCUAAUCAGAAAGCCACGGCUAACUACGUG